AAAAAAAAAAGAGAAUUCCAUCACAUCACCUCCAGUGGGGGGAUAUCCAGGAAGACAAUUUCAGCUCACUAUAAAGAACUCCCUAACAGUUGGAGCUACCCAAGAAUGGAAUGGACCACCUUGGGAGUGAUGAACUCCUUGUCAAUAUAUGUAUUCAAGGAAAGAUUAAGUCUUCAUUGGGAAAUUGAACUAGGAUCCUGGUGACCUCUCAAGUUGAAAAAAUGGGCAAGUUCUAUUAGGAAGGGAAAGACAAGAUCAAAGCUGUGCUUCCAGACAAUUAUGUGACUGUAUGUGUAGAAGAAAUGGGUGGGGAGGGAUCAGAGGCAGGCAGGACCAGUAGGAAACCACUGCAGUGGUCCAGGAGAUAAAAGAAUAGACUGGGGCUGGGCACGGUGAUUCAUGCCUGUAAUCCCAGCACUUUGGGAGGCCGAGGAGGGUGGAUCACAAGGUCAGGAGUUCAAGACCAGCCUGGCAAACAUGGGUGAUCUGCCUGCCUCAGCCUCCCAAAGUGCUGAGAUUACAGCCGUGAGCCACCCUGCCCGGCACCCUAAAGAUUUUUACUAUGUCUUUUUGUAGCAACUUAGGGAGGAGGGCAAGAUCAGUGUUGUUGCCACUUUA
rnacentral:lncRNA from 10 species